rnacentral:rRNA from 18 species
CAAAACGGAGAGUUUGAUCCUGGCUCAGGAUGAACGCUGGCGGUAUGCUUAACACAUGCAAGUCGAACGGAGUACUUCG